UACGUAGGGGCUAGCGUUGUCCGGAAUCAUUGGGCGUAAAGCGCGCGUAGGCGGCCAGAUAAGUCCGGUGUGAAAGUCACAGGCUCAACCUGUGAAUGCCGCUGGAAACUGUCUGGCUUGAGUCCGGAAGGGGCGAGUGGAAUUCCUGGUGUAGCGGUGAAAUGCGCAGAUAUCAGGAGGAACGACCAAUGGCGAAGGCAGCUCGCUGGAACGGUACUGACGCUGAGGCGCGAAAGCGUGGGGAGCGAACAGG
rnacentral:rRNA from 1 species